rnacentral:rRNA from 1 species
UUGAUCCUGGCUCGAAUGAACGCUGGCGGCAGGCCUAACACAUGCAAGUCGAACGGAGUUAUAUUGUAGCUUGCUAUGGUAUAACUUAGUGGCAGACGGGUGAGUAAUGUAUAGGAAUCUACCUAGUAGUACGGAAUAAUUGUUGGAAACGGCAACUAAUACCGUAUACGCCCUACGGGGGAAAAAUUUAUUGCUAUUAGAUGAGCCUAUAUUAGAUUAGCUAGUUGGUGGAGUAAUAGCCUACCAAGGCAAUGAUCUAUAGCUGAUCUGAGAGGAUGAUCAGUCACACUGGAACUGAGAUACGGUCCAGACUCCUACGGGAGGCAGCAGUGGGGAAUAUUGGACAAUGGGCGAAAGCCUGAUCCAGCCAUGCCGCAUGAGUGAAGAAGGCCUUUGGGUUGUAAAGCUCUUUUAGUGAGGAAGAUAAUGACGGUACUCACAGAAGAAGUCCUGGCUAACUCCGUGCCAGCAGCCGCGGUAAUACGGAGAGGGCUAGCGUUAUUCGGAAUUAUUGGGCGUAAAGGGCGCGUAGGCGGAUUAGUAAGUUAAAAGUGAAAUCCCAAGGCUCAACCUUGGAACUGCUUUUAAAACUGCUAAUCUAGAGAUUGAAAGAGGAUAGAGGAAUUCCUAGUGUAGAGGUGAAAUUCGUAAAUAUUAGGAGGAACACCAGUGGCGAAGGCGUCUAUCUGGUUCAAAUCUGACGCUGAGGCGCGAAGGCGUGGGGAGCAAACAGGAUUAGAUACCCUGGUAGUCCACGCUGUAAACGAUGAAUGUUAAAUAUGG